rnacentral:rRNA from 1 species
GACGAACGCUAGCGGGAGGCUUAACACAUGCAAGUUGAGGGGAAAGGCCCUUCUGGGGUGGGGUGCUCGGGUGGCGAACGGGUGACUAGCACGUAACUAACCUGCCCUUGACUUUGGGCUAACUUCAGGAAGCUGGGGCAAAUGCCAGAUAUGAGCUCCGCCUGCAUGGUGGGGGUUGGAAAGUUUCGGCGGGUGGGGAUGGGCUCGCGGCUUAGCAGUUUGUUGGGUGGGGCGUGGCUUACCAAGGCUUUGGCGGGUAGCCGGCCUGAGAGGGUGACCGGCCACAUUAGGACAGUGCUACGGCACAGACUCCUACGGGAGGCAGGAGUGUGGAAUAUUGCACGAUGCGCCCAACCCGCAUGCAGCAACGCCGCGUUCGGGAUUACGGCCUGCUGUUUUAAAACAGCUUACGCCUGUGACCAUGCGUGAGUGACGGUAAUGUGUAAAGAAGCACCGGCUAACUACGUG